CAGAGUAGAGCUGUGUGCGUUAAGUGCUGCCUGAACGGGGAGUUGUCAGACGGACGAAAAGCGGACAUCCGCUUGCGGUGCAUGGCUCGCAUCCCACUGU
rnacentral:ncRNA from 1 species